CUCUCCGUGGCGGAGUCGGCUAGCGCGUUCUGCUGUUAACCGAAAGGUUGGUGGUUCAAGCCCACCCGGGGGCG